rnacentral:tRNA from 1 species
GGGGUUGUGGCUCAGCGGUAGAGUGCUCGCCUAGCAUGUGUGAGACCCUGGGUUUGAUCUUCAGCACCACA